rnacentral:misc_RNA from 1 species
CAGAGUUCAUGCCCUUACGGGUAGAUCUCCCACCCUGUGUUAUUAUAACCUUUGUUGCUUUGGCGGGCCGCCAGGCUUCGGUCAGGCUACCGGCUCCGGCUGGUGAGCGCCCGCCAGAGGAAAUAAAACCCUGAGUAUUAGUGUCGUCUGAGUACUAUAUAAUAGUUA